UACAGAGGUGGCAAGCGUUGUUCGGAAUUACUGGGCGUAAAGGGCGCGUAGGCGGUUCGGUAAGUCCUGUGUGAAAUCCCUCGGCUCAACUGAGGAACUGCACGGGAGACUGCCGGGCUUGAGUUCGGGAGAGGGAAGCGGAAUUCCGGGUGUAGCGGUGAAAUGCGUAGAGAUCAGGAGGAACACCCGUGGCGAAGGCGGCACUCUGGGUCGGCCCUGACGCUGAGGCGCGAAAGCGUGGGGAGCGAACGGG
rnacentral:rRNA from 1 species